rnacentral:rRNA from 1 species
GAUGAACGCUGGCGGCGUGCCUAAUACAUGCAAGUCGAGCGAACGGACGAGAAGCUUGCUUCUCUGAUGUUAGCGGCGGACGGGUGAGUAACACGUGGAUAACCUACCUAUAAGACUGGGAUAACUUCGGGAAACCGGAGCUAUUACCGGAUAAUAUUUUGAACCGCAUGGUUCAAAAGUGAAAGACGGUCUUGCUGUCACUUAUAGAUGGAUCCGCGCUGCAUUAGCUAGUUGGUAAGGUAACGGCUUACCAAGGCAACGAGGCAUAGCCGACCUGAGAGGGUGAUCGGCCACACGGGAAGUGAGAAACGGCCCAGACUCCGACGGGAGGCAGCAGUAGGGAAUCUUCCGCAAUGGGCGAAAGCGGGACGGAGCAACGCCGCGUGAGUGAUGAAGGUCUUCGGAUCGGAAAACUCUGUUAUUAGGGAAGAACAUAUGUGUAAGUAACUGUGCACAUCUUGACGGUACCUAGUCAGAAAGCCACGGCUAACUACGUG